GAACGCCGUAUGAGGGGAAACUCUCACGUACGGUGUGGGGCAGGGGAAAAGGUGGCGAUUACAUCAAAACCUUACCUAUUGCCAU
rnacentral:ncRNA from 1 species